rnacentral:rRNA from 1 species
UACGGAAGGCAGCAGUGGGGAAUAUUGCACAAUGGGCGAAAGCCUGAUGCAGCUAUGCCGCGUGUAUGAAGAAGGCCUUAGGGUUGUAAAGUACUUUCAUCGGGGAGGAAAAAACAAAACUAAUAAUUUUAUUUCUUGACGUUACCCGAAAAAGAAGCACCGGCUAACUCCGUGCCAGCAGCCGCGGUAAUACGGAGGGUGCUAGCGUUAAUCAGAAUUACUGGGCGUAAAGAGCACGUAGGUGGUUUUUUUAAGUCAGAUGUGAAAUCCCCUGGGCUUAACCUAGGAACUGCAUUUUGAAACUGAAAUACUAGAGUAUCGUAGAGGGAGGUAGAAUUCUAGGUGUAGCGGUGAAAUGCGUAGAUAUCUGGAGGAAUACCUGUGGCGAAAGCGGCCUCCUAAACGAAUACUGACACUGAGGUGCGAAAGCGUGGGGAGCAAACAGGGAUUAGAUACC